rnacentral:lncRNA from 1 species
AGAAAUGUUAGUUAUUCACAGAGGGGAUGAAAACAGUGUGUUUAAUACACUUACUGUAACAUAGUCUGUCUGUCUGUCACAGAUUCAUUUCCAUUAUUUUCCUCUUUUGAGAGACAUGGUCCUGCAGGCGAAUCUGUGAAUGAUUUAAAUGGUAGAACAUGAAUAUCUAACUCCAUAUCUACAAUUCAAAAGAGCCCUGCCGGUUAAAACAGACCUGACAACGAUUAAGUGCCAAAUUAAUUGCAUUUUGGGCUAUUGAGAUUAAGAAAACAAGCAAAGUGUUUUUUCAUUGUUCUGAGAUUUAAUUCUAACUCAUAGAAGUUCUUAUUUUAUUAGAGUUCUAUUUUUCCUUCUUAAAAACACAACUAAGCCUGAACCAACAACAAUAUAUAUUUCUAUAAUGUCCAUAUUAGGACAGCAUACUGUAGAUGUGCAAAUGUUAGAUUUUAUAUUAGCACAGUUGAUGUAAAUUGGAAAACAUGGUGACUCAGUCAUACAGAAAGUCACUCUUCAGCUGUCAUGAUUGAACACAGGCCCUGUAGGUCUAUCCAUUGGCUCAUUCAGACAUCCGUGGUCAUCCAGCAACCUCACAGGGCACAUCCGAUGAGUCACCCCAGAAAAGCGGACUGGGCCUGGGAUAAACUAGGAGUGUUGGAGGGCGAUCACCAUGGAGCUAUGGGGAUUUGGGGAGAUUUGAGGUCAGUUAUGGCUACAGUGUAAUGGGGGCAGCCACUAAAGGCCGAUUAGUUAGUCCCUAAAGUUAAAGGCUAGGUAGUCUGCUCUUGAGACAUGCGGAUGACCAAGGUUCAAUAUAUGAUUCAUUACAACAGCAUCAGACUAGAAGUAGGGUUGGCUGAAGGCUAUGGUAUCAGCUGUACUGUAUGUGCCCUUGAGUUGUGGAGAGACAUGUCAUUUUCUACAAUCAUCUCGCCUAAUACUUUUAAAUAUUUUUCUAAAGUAAAGAAUCACUGCUUAUGCAACACUUUCAUGUAAAUAACAAGCCUACAACAACUAAGCAGCCCAAAUCACAAUCCCCCAAGCUAGUACUAUCUCCUUAGGAACAUCAAAAUACCUAAAUAUCAGGCCUCCUGUUGUUAUGACUCUCCAAUCGACUUUAUAGCCCUAAGUGUGGACUAUAAAAUAAAGGAUGUCCUAUUGAGAAAGGUGAAUUAAGACUAUUAAGUCUCAUUAGUGGCUGUGAUUUGGUCAGCAUGGGCCUGUGUGCUGUGUUCCUUGAUAUGCAGCAUGCUACAGAGACAGCACCGACUGGGCUUGGGAAAUCAUUACAAUGAAAAGC